CUUCUCAUCUCUCUCUCUAUCUCUCUCUCAUGUUGCAGCCAUCUCCAGUCCAUGGCAACAACAGCAGUACUUUUCCACUUGCUCGCUCUAUCAGAUUAGCAAUCCGCUGCUCAUUGUUAGGGCUUCAAGAGUAUCGGCCAUGACCUUCUAUUACGGAUGGUCUCUAUAUGUGUUUGGCUUCAUCUCACUUAAAUGGCGAGACUGAAAUCUCAUAUCUGUAAGAAAGAUGUAAGACAGAUAGUUGGAAAACAAAAGAGAAGCCUAAUUGGUUUCUGUUGAUGCAAGAGAUGUUGCCUUGUUGGGUCUGAAUUUUUGUUUGCAGAAAGGACUUGUCGUAAGGACAUCACAAAUCAGGGGUCAUUGGAUCUUACACAUCAUUAGAGAAGGUUUGCGAACGAGUUUAUCAGUACUUAGUUGAAGUGAUCAAGUUGGAAGAGUUGCAAGUUUGACUAGGAGUUUAACAAAGAAGUUGCUACUGAAGUAAUCUAGCUAUUUGCAAGUUUUAAUUUUCAAAAGUUGAAGUUGUCACCAGAGCUUAAGCAGAAGUUGAAGUCAUCACCGGAGCUUAACCAGAACUUGAAGUCAUUUAGUAGAAAUGCUCAAGUCAUGAUAACGAGGCCAUCAUAUAAGGAAAUCCUAUAUUCCUUCUUGUGAAAUAUUCCUUUGCUUGUUCCAGUGUGUAAGUCUUUGGAUUGCUGGUUUAAUGAACUUCGUUGGAGUUAUUUUGCUAUGUA